AGUGGCGGACGGGUGAGUAACGCGUGGGUAACCUGCCUCAUACAGGGGGAUAACAGUUAGAAAUGGCUGCUAAUACCGCAUAAGACCACAGCACCGCAUGGUGCAGGGGUAAAAACUCCGGUGGUAUGAGAUGGACCCGCGUCUGAUUAGGUAGUUGGUGGGGUAACGGCCUACCAAGCCGACGAUCAGUAGCCGACCUGAGAGGGUGACCGGCCACAUUGGGACUGAGACACGGCCCAA
rnacentral:rRNA from 1 species